rnacentral:rRNA from 1 species
CACGUAGGGCGCGAGCGUUGUCCGGAAUCACUGGGCGUAAAGGGUGCGUAGGCGGGUCUUUAAGUCAGGGGUGAAAUCCUGGAGCUCAACUCCAGAACUGCCUUUGAUACUGAAGAUCUUGAGUCCGGGAGAGGUGAGUGGAACUGCGAGUGUAGAGGUGAAAUUCGUAGAUAUUCGCAAGAACACCAGUGGCGAAGGCGGCUCACUGGCCCGGUACUGACGCUGAGGCACGAAAGCGUGGGGAGCAAACAGG